rnacentral:rRNA from 1 species
GUCUUUUUGAUAAUAAUUUAAAGUCUGGCCUGCCCAAUGAGGAAUUCAAUGGCCGCGGUAAUUUGACCGUGCAAAGGUAGCAUAAUCAUUAGUUUUUUAAUUGAAAGCUGGUAUGAAUGGCUGGACGAGAAAGAAGCUGUCUCUUUCUAAUUUUAGUUAGAAUUUUACUUUUGAGUAAAAAGGCUCAAAUGCAUUUAAAAGACGAGAAGACCCUAUAGAGUUUUAUACAUGCUCUUGCUUUUAAGCUUAAGAUUGUCUUGCUCUAGGGCAUUAUCAUGUGUUUUGUUGGGGUGACAAGAAAAUUGACUGAACUUUUCUUUAUUUUUAACAUUAAUUUAUGAAUGAAUGAGCCAUUUUAGUAUGAUUAUAAGAAUUAAUUACCUUAGGGAUAACAGCGUAAUUUUUUUUGAGAGUUCUUAUCGAAAAAAGAGUUUGCGACCUCGAUGUUGGAUUAAAGUUAAUUUGUGGUGCAGAAGCUACAACAUUAGAUCUGUUCGAUCUUUGAAACUUUACAUGAUCUGAGU